AAAAAAAAAGAAAGAAAAGGGUGGAGAUGCAAACAUCCCUAUAGCUAAAAGCUAUGGAAAACUAUCAUUUCAGCUAGUUUUUUAGAUGAUUAAAAAUGUAGACUUAUAGUCUCUUUUAACAGAUUCCUAAGCUAAUUAAAUUAAGUUUGCCAUAGUGAAUUCCAUUAGAAAAAAAAUUCAUUCAUUGUGUUGAAUUUAUUGUCGAUUUGAAAUAGAGAUAAUACACAUUUUAUAAAAAUUAUAGACACUCUUUUUUUUUAACUAACUUUUAGAACGAAUUAGAUUUAAUUUAAAUUUAAUGUAGUAUUAGAGUUUUGUAUUGGAUCUCUCGUAAAUAUUUCACGAUCUUUUUUCUAAUUUUUUUGAUGAAGUGUGGAAGCUUACCUAACAUUUACAAUGACUUGUAUUUAACUAUAUGUCACCUAAAUCAACUAUAUUCUAACCAUUUAAUAUUGCUAUUAGUCCCAUCUUGGGAGACUAUUGUGAUGUUUGUAGUAUAUGAUGGAAAUCUUACCAAACUUCACUUUGAUCAUAAUUUUGAUUGUUUAGCAUUCAUUGUAAUAUGGAUGGUAAAGAAUUUAAUUCUCUUAUUAUUUGAUUUUAUUCUUUUUUGCAUUAAAAUAAUAGAUUAAUUAUUAAUAAAAUUUUAACUUAAUGAUAUGGAACUCACUUUCAAAACGGUAAACUCUUAGUUUGAAGUCAAAUUAAUUGUAUAAAAUAAUAAGUUUAUUUGAGUAAAUUUGAUAGAUCUUAAAUUUUACUCCCAUCCCUAUUUCAAAAGAAAAAAAAAAGGUAAUUUAUCAAUAAGCGAGUCAAAACAAAUUCAAAUAUUUUAUAUUGUAAAACUUAAAAUUAAUAAUGUGUUUUCUAUUAUAAACACAUUAUUAAACUUUGAUCACAUAUUUAAUUAUUUAAAAAAAUGACUAACUAAUAUAUAUUUUACACGAGUUUUCUUAAAAAUUUUAUAUUUAAAUUCUGAAUAUAAAAUAUUUUUAAAAUUUAAAAGAAAAUACUUUAUUUCUUAAUUGACAUGUUUAAUGAGAUUAAUACACAAUAUAUGUAUGAAUAUAUAUAUAUACAUAAACCUGGUAAGAGUUAACAUGUCAAUUUCAGUUUAGGACAAUUUGGUGAUUUAAAUAGAAAUAACAGAGUUGGUGUUUUAUGCAACUUAAAUGGUUAUGAAUACUUCCUUUUCUGGAAAAUUUUCAAAUUGUUUUUAAAGAAAAGAAAAUAUUAGUUAGUAUAUCAAUAAAUAUUUGAUGGGAUUUGGAAAAAUAUAUAAUAGAUGAAAUUCCCGACAAUAAUUAAGCAUGUCUUGUCUAGUCCCCACAAAAAAAAAACUUUAUACUCUAUUAAUUAGAAUUUUAAUUUAAGAAAAAGUAUAUUGUUAUUUUUUUAAUUAAUAUUUUAUAUCAUUAUAAUUUCGUCCUUUUAAGUUGUUAACAGAAUGUUUCUAAGAUAAUAUAUUUAAUUUUAUAUAAUAAUAUUUUAAUAAAAUCAAAUUAUAUCUUAAUAGAUAUCAUACAUUUAUAAAAUUAUCUCUAUUAGUUUUUAAAAUUAUCUUUAAAAAAUAUGCAUCAAAAUAUUACAAGUUGCAUUUGAUGUGAAUAUUAAAAAUAGAAAAAUUAUUAUUUUAUUUUUAUGAUAUAAAAAAUUUAUAAAUUGAUCCUUCAAUUUUAAAAAAUAUAUUAAUAGGUCCUUGAAAAUUAAUUAAGAAAGAAGAAAUGGGGAUGACAUUGCAUGCAUGAAUGUAAAUAACUAUUUGACUAAAUAACUAUUCUUUGAUUUGUAAAUCCACUAGUCAACCUAAUUCAUUAUUAUACCUAAAUAAAGAUUGUCAACAAUCUCCCUUGAUAUCUCCAUUCUCUUAAUCAUCAUCAUAACAUUUCUAUCAACAUCCUCUUACCAUUAAUUUUCUUUCUGGAUUUUCCUUUAAUUACAAUUCUUAAUCUAUGUGUAUAUAUAUAUAUACAAACAUCUUGUUUUAUUUUACAAUCUAGUCCUCACACUUUAUAUAUUCCAAUAAUUUAGUCUCUAAUUAGUGCCUAAAAAAUAAUACAAUGGUGGUGAUUUAACAAUAUUUUUCACAGGAAGGACAACUUUAUAAACUUUUAAAAUUACAAGGACUAAAUAGUUAAUUUUUAAAAAUAUAAAAACUGAUGAUUACCGGGUUUUCUUUACCUGGAGAUGAGGUCGAGGCUGAAUGAAGAAUAUAGAUCCAAAACUCAUCAGAUCUUCCUCAGCCCAUGAUGAGCGUCUUAGUCCAGUCAGGAGAGUCAGGUCGAGAUACCUCACACGCAGGCCCACCCGAAGGAUGCCUAAUCCAAUAACAUGACAUGAGGAAAGAGAGCAGAUCAAGUCACCUCGCAGCUCUGUUCGCAUGUGCAUCGUGGAAUUAAAUGGCCGCCUGACGUGGAGAANNNNNNNNNNNNNNNNNNNNNNNNNNNNNNNNNNNNNNNNNNNNNNNNNNNNNNNNNNNNNNNNNNNNNNNNNNNNNNNNNNNNNNNNNNNNNNNNNNNNNNNNNNNNNNNNNNNNNNNNNNNNNNNNNNNNNNNNNNNNNNNNNNNNNNNNNNNNNNNNNNNNNNNNNNNNNNNNNNNNNNNNNNNNNNNNNNNNNNNNNNNNNNNNNNNNNNNNNNNNNNNNNNNNNNNNNNNNNNNNNNNNNNNNNNNNNNNNNNNNNNNNNNNNNNNNNNNNNNNNNNNNNNNNNNNNNNNNNNNNNNNNNNNNNNNNNNNNNNNNNNNNNNNNNNNNNNNNNNNNNNNNNNNNNNNNNNNNNNNNNNNNNNNNNNNNNNNNNNNNNNNNNNNNNNNNNNNNNNNNNNNNNNNNNNNNNNNNNNNNNNNNNNNNNNNNNNNNNNNNNNNNNNNNNNNNNNNNNNNNNNNNNNNNNNNNNNNNNNNNNNNNNNNNNNNNNNNNNNNNNNNNNNNNNNNNNNNNNNNNNNNNNNNNNNNNNNNNNNNNNNNNNNNNNNNNNNNNNNNNNNNNNNNNNNNNNNNNNNNNNNNNNNNNNNNNNNNNNNNNNNNNNNNNNNNNNNNNNNNNNNNNNNNNNNNNNNNNNNNNNNNNNNNNNNNNNUUGUAUGUAAAUGAAAACAAAAUCGAGCUCAGAAUGAAUGAAAAAUGAGCUAAAUGCCUGCAAUUAAAGAAAUGGACAAGGAUGGAAAUUAAUUCACAUUUCUGGUCUGGAAAAUCUAGAGGCAAUACGGACAAGCAAUAUGAGAUGGUAACUUUGUAAACUUUACAUGGCCAUUCCAGGAUGUCUCCAUUUCUACCAUUACGUAUAUAAUUCAGGAAAACAAAGACUAAUAUAUCCAUCUGAAAAAAAGAGAACACAACCAAGAAAUAUAAAGAGACAACAAUGUGACGACAAAGAAAAACCAGAAUAGAAAAACAUCAAAUGGGUAUACAUGUAAGGAAACAGAAGGUCCUCAUGAGUUAUAAUCAAAAGCCUCGUCACACAGUAAAACUCUCUCUCUCUCUUUGUGUCUGAAAAGUCCCAGUCCCAUGUCCUAUUAUUUAUAUAUUAAGAAAUCUUAUCCAAUACACCCACGUACGUAUUAACAUGUUAUUUUAAUUUUUAAUUGGUUGAAUAUACCACUAAUAAUAAAUUCGGGUGUUUCAGAUAAUUUUUCGUAAAAUAGUAGUAUAUAAUCCUGCACAGAUGGAGCACAGCAUUUAUUACCACAUCAAUUAACAUUUCACCUUCCUCUUCCUAUUAAAAACCCAACCUCCUCCUUUCUUCAUAAAGAGGAAAUUCUCACUUCAUAUAAUUCCCCGCAUGGAGCCUCUAAGCUCAGAGGUAUGCCUCUCUGAAACUUCUUCAAGCAUCGUCUCAGUUUCAAAUGCUCCUUCAAAAUUCUCUCUGAAUGUCUCAAUGGACAACCCAAAAGGGAGAAAACAAUUACAAGAAGAAGAAGAAGAAGAAGAAGAGGAAAGAGAAAACAAGAACGAAGACACCAGUGAUCGUGAUCUUGUAUUGGAUCUAAGCCUCCUUUCCGGCAAAGAUUCCAAGCCAGAACUGAUCAAUCUCAUCGAUUCUUUUGACAUGGAAUCAUCGCAGAAGUCAUCCUUGGAUACUCCUCAAGGUAAUGAAAUCGAGCCUCGAGUAUUCUCAUGCAACUAUUGUCAAAGAAAAUUCUAUAGCUCACAGGCACUUGGGGGUCACCAAAACGCACAUAAACGAGAAAGAACACUAGCUAAACGAGGACAAAGAAUCAAUGGAGGAGGCUCUUUUUCUCUUGGUCAUCACCAUAACUCGCAAAUAAAUCGAUACACUAGCAUGGCCUCUCUCCCUCUGCAUGGCUUAUUAAAUAGAUCACUUGGAAUUCAGGUGCACUCCAUGAUCCACAAGCCGAGUUUUGUACCAUCUUCCACUCUUAGUUCUUCAAAUGUUCAUGGGAAAAAUGGAUGGUCUAGGCAACCUAUUGGUCAGCAACCGGCAGUUGGGAGGCUGCCAUCGGAAAGCUUUCAUAUGGGAACAAGAAUCGGAUCAUCUAAUGGGGUUGCAAGAUUUGAAAGUGCAGGAAAAUUUUCCCCAGCUGGGGAAAGAAUGGGUGGAUACUGGUGUGAUUCUGGUGUUAACCAUUUGAAGACUAAGCAAGAUGAUUUGCAAAAGCUUGACCUUUCACUCAAGCUCUAAUAUAAGUACCUCCUCUUCUUUCUAUUUUACAGUUCAAUCUCUAUCUUCUCUUCUUCUUCUUUGACUUUGUUUUGUUCUUGGCUACUAUAGAAUUUUUCAUAUAUAUUUUGUAGCUGGAUCUGCUGUAAAUCUUGUUCUUUUGGCUACAGAACACCAUGACUCUAUGGAUUUAGCAAGUAAAAGUUGGCUUCACAUUCAUGGAAAAUCAUUUCAGAAUUCAAAUUUGGAUCAUAAAAUCAAAAUAGAUAUUUUAAAUAUUAUAGAGAAAGAGCUAUGGAUGAUUUNNNNNNNNNNNNNNNNNNNNNNNNNNNNNNNUUUGGUUAUUUGAUAUGCUGAUGCUUUUGUGCAUAGUGCACCCAGAAAUCAACCUUGGGGAUCUUUCAUUGGUGGGGUUCUCUGUGUGUAGGAUAAUUUGGAUGCUAGUGGGUGUCAUUUCAAUUCUAUUUUUUCUUUGUAGUUUUAUAUUACGUACAAAAUGGUCCACUCCAUGUAUAAAAGUUUGGGAUAGAUACUAGAGAUGGUCCACUAAAUGUUAUUCAAAAUGGACGGCUGUGAUCAUCUUAAUGGCUCUUAUCUUUGACCCACUAGCAGUUGAAAAAAUAGACCAUCUCUAUUUGGAAGGUGUGGUAAGAAGAAGAAUUGAAAGAGGUUGGUAUAUCUAGCCAUGUGAAAAUUAGUCCACAUCAUGGCCCCUCACGCCUCAGCUAUGCAAUCCACAUCAUUGAUUUUACAUACAAUUACAGAAAUCACUGAUUCAUAUUAAAUUAUAUUUUUUAUAAAAUUUAUGGAUUAAUUAAAAUUUUAGAUAAAUAUUUAUUUUAUUUAUAAUAAUUAAUAUUCAACCUCAUUUUAAAAAAAUAGCAAACUAUUUAAUAUAUAUAUAUAUAUAUUUUAAUAUUAUACUGUAGUUAAAUCUUGAUAUCUUACCUAAGAGAUCUCAUAAAUGAGGUCCAUAGUGGGUCCAAAUCAAAUUGAUGUAUACAGCUAAGAUCAUGUUAAACAUCAUAUUACAAACUUAAUCUUUCCUAGAAUUAAGACAUUAACGGAAAACCUUGAUUAUUAUGACAGUUAAUCCAUAUAGAAACCCUCCAAUUAACAAAGCAAGUGAUAGGGUGACAGGAGUAUCACACAAGUUUUGACAAUUGGAAUAGGACAUUUGGUGGGGUUUUGCCACGUGUUGAAAUUCAGUUCGGCUGUCAAUUUCUUGUGUUAGACUGGCUUUAUCCCUCUUGUAUAUUUUUGGCAUUUUAAAAAUUGGCAACCCUAUGAUUUUGCCUCUCAUUUAAGAAACAUUUUCAAGAAAAAGUUAGAAAGUGAUGCAUGAAAAAUGUAUGGUUAUGAUUAUGCUGUGUUCAGUUUAGGUGAAAAAAAUUUAAGCAAGAAUUAGUCUUUCCACUUCGACACACACCGAUUCAUGUGAUUAAAUAUGAAAUUUAUUUUUAUUUUAAUUUAUACCUAAUUCUCUUAGGUAUUAUAAUUACUUUUGCAUAUUUAAAUUUAUAAAUAAUAAUUUUUAUAAUUCUUUUAAGAUUGAUUAACACUAGACUUACACCCAAAUUGAGUUCGAAUCUCAAAGAAAGAGACAAAGAGACAGAUCUAAAACUAUUAGAGUCUAUCAAAUUGGCCGAUUAUCAACACACCAUUCAACCCGCGACUAAAGCAGGUCAGAUUAAUCGAAGGUCUGAACCUAUUAGAAGUGAGAUUGGUUUAUUGAUGUGACGGAAAGUAUAAGAGUAAGCCCAGCUACAUUGCAACUCUAUCAGCACGAGCGCUGAUAGCAAAUUAAAUGACCGUCUGACGAUGAUGUACAUGUAUAUACAUUCGUACAUACGGUUCUACAUGACAAAGACAGUAGCACUGUAAUACAAGCAGUUAUGCAUUACUAGAGAAUAAGGGAAAAAUAAAUAAAAAAGAAGAGUGUGACCCUCCACACUAAACUUUUCUAAAACCCUACUUCUCUUAAAUUUCAAAACAUUAAAAAUAAUAUUAGAGUAAUUAUUUGAUCAUAUUAUAGUAAUUAUGUGCCAUCUUUCAUUAAGUAAAAUCCAAAUCCAUCUUCCAUAAUACACAAGAAAUAUGUAGCUAUCAUAGUAUUGAGGACUUGGGGGUAGGUGAGACAUUAAAGCAGGAAAUGGUCUUCACUCCUAAGAUCUUAUGAUAAUUAAAAGGAGAUUGAUCAUCUUUAUUUUAUUUGAAAAAUUAAUAGUAAAGAUUUCUUUUUCAAAAAAAAUUGAAUUUUUAUCUUUCUGGGACCAGAGAUUGAUCUUUGAAAUAUUUUAUAAUACCAAAGCAAACAUAUAUGAAAUAUUUGUGUUCUACUAUUUUUGGAUUAUUAUAAUUGUUGUUUUUCUUUCCUUUUCUUUAUGGAGGAUAGUGAAGGGAAAAGGAAUGGACACCAAAGAGCUACUAGAAGACCAUCAUCAUCUCUCUCUUGCUAUAAAUCCUACUAUUUUUUUUAUAAAUCAACUAUAAUUUUUAAUUAUAUCCAAAUUUUAGAUUGAAUGACCAAAUGCAUACAAGAAAAUUCAGUCGUUGUUUGAACCCAGAUGAGUAAACAAUGGCAUGAAUCUGGAUGAUCCAAACAACUUUUUCAACUCAGAGGCCCUUCAAUUAGUCUCGGCAUGGAAUAUGGAUCUCCUCUCCAAAUGUAGUCAAAUUUUUUAUAGGUAGACUAAUUGACAUCUUCGUUUAAAGUUUCAGUAACCAAUACUCGGGAGUUGAUGAAUCACAAGAAGCAAACAAUCUCUACUCUCAUCAAUGUAAGAUUUGAUGGUAUCCAUCCACUUAUUUCUAAUUAGUUCUUCCUUUGUUCUUCGUAUUUUCAUGCAAGAGAGCUGGCCUUUCAUCGUUUAUACCCCUUGUAUCCAAGAAUUGAUAGAAUUUUCUUAUAAUGAAGCUUGCAGUUCAUCAUUCAAUACACUGUAAACAAUUAAAAAUCAGAAAGGUAGCAGGCACAAAAACAAAACGACAGAAGAAAGCAACAUAUUAUCAAAAAAAAAAACCAUAUGCAGCCAUUUGGAUGCUCAUAAAAUAUAACCAAAACUUAAAAAUCCGAAAUGCUGCUCUCUGGCUAGGGAAAAAAAAGGUUAGAUUCAUUUAGCAGAGUUUCCAUUUUUUUCAUGCAAAUAACAUCUCAAGCAUUUCUCCUUUUAUUUCAGUUUUCCCAGUAAAUUAAAUGGCACAUCUAAAAUAAAUCAGUAAAUUAUCAUACUUGAAGUCAGGACAUCUUCUCGUUCUCGCUUGUGCCUGUCAAAAGCUUUGCAAUUUCAAUGGAAUUUGACCAAGUUUAGUACAUGAUCUCUAAGGAACCGUCAUUACCCUUAGAGAUACUAACAAUGAAAGUAAUGUGAAACUGCAUAUUGACAUUACUGUAUCACUAGAUAUUGGACUUGGAAUUCUUCCAUCAAACAAUGUUGCUUCUACCUUAAUCUUCUCAUUCCUUGCAAAUUUCUUUUUUAACAAAAUUCAUUAAUUCCCCGGCUGGUCAUUGAUCUUGGUAGCAAGUUCAAAUCAUUGAAUGUGACAUGCAUUAUGCCAGAAUCAUUAGUCAACUUAACCAAUUGGCCCUUUUAAACAUUUGAAAAUGCAUUCUCUCAAACAAACAAGCUAUAAUAGCUGGGAAAGAAAAAGGCUGGAAAAUAAUAUCAAGAUUGGAAAUUUCAGCUCAAAUCAGCAAUGCCAUUUAAUUCCAUCACGAGUCAAGGAAUCUUGAUUUCAACAGCAAUUAAUUUUUUUAUCCAAUUUAAGUGCUUUUAUAAUCACAAUCCCAGGAACAAAAUAGAGGGACAUUUUUUAUAAGCAUAAAAAAUUUUAUUAAUAGAAAUCCAAGAAAAACUUAACAUAUAGAGUCCACCUAAACCCGGCAUUCAAACGUCUCCAGACACACAACCUAGCACAAUGUAUGUUACAUGAAAAGACCUGGAGACCAGCAGAAACAUCAGAAGAUGACCAACAUAACCCAGCAAACCCAAAGCAAAAUAGAGGGACGGCUCCCAGUUAACAUUAAUACUACUGAAAUAAAAUGGUCUAACAAUCCUAUUAAGCCUUUACCAGAGAGCUCUUCCUACGCAAUUUUUCACUAUACAGCAUUUGUAGUUUGCUUCUGAUUCCAACCAACAUUGUGAUUCUUAAAUAAUGCAAACCCAGAAGCAGACUUAGAAUUCAAUGAAAACCCAUCUAAAAAAAUUUGGAUUUUAAAAAUUCAGCUCUCGAUCUCAUUCUUUCCAAUUGUUCUCAUCCACCACAGAUUAAGGAAAAAGAAAAAUUAAAUUCAAAACAUGCGGAGAUGAAUGAGGCCUUUAAAAGAAAGAAGGAAGAUUACUUGUUUUAGGAGUAUCACAUUGGAGCUCGUAUUGGAAGGAGUCUGAGGAUACUAUAUUCAAAGGCGGAUUUGGGCAUUGCUGAUACGUAACACAUUUCUGACUAGCGUUGUUCAGAACUUCAGUGGACUUCAGUAGGGUUUUAGGAUAUCCGGGCGCGGAAUGAAGUCAAAACGUUCAGUCGUUUUAGGGAAUUUAUACAGUAUGAACCCUCCAGCAGUCUGUUUAUUACAUAAUUUUUGGAUGAUGAUACUUUGGAUCCCAUACUGGAAAAUGUGAGGGCCAGCGUGUAGGAUCAUACAAUAAAGAUAAUGUCCUAUGUGCUUAAGCCACAGCUAGGCCAAUACUAGGUUGGAGUGAAUAUUAAAAUUGAGCAACAAGAUUAGACCAACUUACCAACUUUAGCUAAACCCUAAGAGAGGGUGUUUAAAAUUUGGUAAACAUUAGGGUAAUGAUGAGGAAUAUAUAGGCACUUGAAUAUGAACAAUGACUUUGCAGACUAAGCAUACUCUUUACCGCUGCUCUGAGAUGUUAGUUCAGAGGUUUCUCCAGGGUGAAAAAUCUGAAGUGAAGUGCAAGAUAGGCAAUUUGAAACCAUCACUCACAGCUUAAGCAUCAAGCAAUUUCAAGCAUCUAAUAUCUGCACUCUGUUGAAAACAUGGCCAACUCCUCUUUCCUCUUUCUACAGGAUUCACAUAUGAGGAGGCUUUUCUUCAAUUUUCAGUGUCUUCAGUAGUUCUCCAAUUUUGGGUCUUCCCCUUUAUUAUUGCUCGGAAAAUGUAACAAAAUUCAGUCAAUUCGAUUUAAAAUUAAAUUAAAUAAAAAUUACAUAUUUCAGACUCGAUAAAAUUCAUACAAAAUAUAAAAUUUAUCUGCUUAUAAAGGAAAGAGUGAGUUGAGAAAAAAUAUAAAUUCAUAUUAUGGUUUCUUUUCUAAUUUUUUUAAAUAUAAGUUUACGUUGAUAUUUUAUUUAUUUCUAUUUAAAUCAACUUACAUUUAUUUAUUUAUUUUUUAUAACACAAUUAAUUAUUUUGACAUAAUCUAUAUAAAUAAAAAAAUAUUGGCCUUCUUAUGAAGGGGUUGAUUUCAUCCGGGGAGAGAGAAUGUAUAGGAAACAACCUUUUUUUAGUAUUAUGAUAAAAAUAGGUUGAAUUUACAUUUUUUUUUAUUAUAAAAUGAGUAAUUCUUAUACAUAUUCAAGUAUGUAAAUUCCCCCAAUUUAAAAAUGACAUAUUAAUCAAAAUUGAAUUUUGAUUUGAAAAAUAAUGUAAGAGAAAUUUUGAAGUAAUAAUUAUUUGGAAUCACUGUUGGGAAACUGCUUAUGAUAUUUUGGGUUGAAAACCAAUAUAUUGGACUGUGUUUAAUUUUACUGUCUAUUAUGAUUGGUGUACAUGGGGAUGGUUAAGAGGCCCAGGAAAUAUCCUAAUUUGCUAACAUUUACUGAAUUAUUAAUUGAUUUAUGCUCUUUUAUCUUUUAUUUAUUUAUAUUCAAAUGAACCAAAAGUAUAAUGGUAGUAAUUAAUAGAUUGUAUAUCGAGACUUUGAGCAAUUAAUUUUAAAUUUUAUAAUAGAUUUGAAUUUAAAUUUAAUUUUUACUAUCGUUAUUCGAUGGAAAUUCAUAAUAACUUUUUGAGAAGAGAAUUUUAAAACGUACGACUUUUCAAAGUGUGAUAAGAAUUAAAAGUUUAUCAUAAAAUUCGAGACGAAAAUUCGAUGAAUAUAAAAUUUUAUUAAUUUCUUAUAUUUUAAUGUGUUGAAUAAGAGAACUUUUUCAUAGAAACCCAUUAAUCCCAACUCAGAAGAACUAAUCACAACACUGUAGCAAAAGAUGUCAUAUUUCUUUAUUAAUGGAUACUUGGAUCUACAUUGCAUUUGAGCCCACCUACUCCUGGUGGCAUCCAACUGGUAUUUUCAUUUCUAUUCUGAUUAGGCAGCCUCCUAGGCACAAGAUGAACAUUCUUCUAUCCGCUGAGAACUUUAAGACUCGAGGCAACCAUUUUUGCUAACCUAUAUUGAUUAUGAUGCUAAAGGAAUCGAUUCUUUCUUGUCCAUACAUUCCAAGCUACUGCAUAGACUUGCUUCGUCAGACGACAAACAGCAUUAUGCCACAAAGAGUAGAAGAAAUCAGCACAAUUCAAGAAAGUACCAUCUCCAACAAAAAGGCUUAACUUAGUCCAAAAAUCGCAUGCAUAUGAGCACUGAGCAAAAACAUGGACAUCAUUCUCCUCCAAGCCACAGUGGAUAUAUUCCGUAUCAAUCUCAACUAUAUUACUCUUUAAAUGAGCUACCAUAUUAUCUGAUUACAUAUCUAUAUCAUACGUAAUUCAUCUUUUCGAAUUACCACCCUUAAAGAUAUAUAAAAAAAAUUUUAUAACAUCAUUUUGGAACCGAAUUAAUCUCAACUAUAUUACUCUUUAAACAAGCUACUAUAUUAUCUGAUUACAUAUUCACGUCAUACGUAAUUCAUCUUUUCGAAUUACCACCCUUAAAGAUAUAUAAAAAAAAAUUUAAAACAUCAUUUUGGAAAAGUGUUUGUUUAGUAAAUACAAAUUUUUUUUUUUGCAUAUUAUAUGUUAUAUAAUUUGAAUGAAACUAUAAAUUUAUAUUAAUAUUUUUUUUAUAUGUAUAACUAAUGUCAUUUGAUACAAAAUAUAAUAUAUCGAUCUAUUUUUUAUUAUUGUAUUUUACUUAUAAUGAAUAAAAUAAUCUCUUCUCUAAAAAUAUUCAGAAAGACAAGACUAUGGCCGAGUAGUAUUUGGUUUAAAUUGAAAGACCGAUUAAAUUUAAUUAAUUUAGAAAUUCAAUUUAAUUUUUUUUUAUUUUUUUGGUUCGGUUUAUUUUUAUUUUUUAAAAUUUUAAUUAGAUUCAAUUUUUAUUAAAAUUUUAAUUAAUAAAAAAUCGAUAAAAAUCAAAUCAAAUUAAAUAGUGAAUAAUAAUGUAUUAUUUUUUAUAAUAUAGGCAGAUUAGACUAUUAUUAAAAUUAAAAUAUUUUAAUUAAUUUUAAGAACCUUAAAAAUAAGGAAAUAAUUUAUUAAAAAGCCAUAUUAAAUUAAAUCAAAUCGAAUCAGAUUAGUUUAAUUCAAAUCAAUUUCUAUUCAAAUUUAAUUCGAUUCGAUUUAUAUAAAUAUUAAAAUUUUAAUUUUUAAUUUAUUUUAUUAAAUUUAAUUUUAAACAAAAAUUGACCGAAUCAUCAUCGUUGAACAUGACAACCGAGUCACUUAAUGGCAGAUAAAAGAUAAAAGUAAUAAGUCAAGCUUUUUCUUUUUUAAAAUAAUAAGUCAAGCUAUUAAAAUGUAAUAUGUUUUCCAAUUUAGAAAAGAAUGGUAUGUUUUUUAUCUAAAAAAAAUACAUAAUGGACUUAUUUUAUAUUAAUAUAUAAUAUUAUAAAUAGAUAGAUUCCAUUUCAUGCCACCUGGCAAGCAAUAAUUUGGAAAAAAAAAAAUUCUCAACAGAAUGUUUCAUGCUAGAUAUAUUUUUAAUUUAAUGAUUUUUUUCAAUGAAGUGUCAAAAUUGUUUGAAAAGAGAAAUUAUCUAAAAAAGAGCUAAUAUUAUCCACUCACUCUUAAGUAUAAAAUUCUGUGAAGUAUUGAAAAAAUUAUUUUUUUAAAAUUAUGAUAUGAAAAAUUUUAUUAAUUAAUUUUUUAAAUUUAAAAAAUAUAUUAAAAUAUUUUUAAUAUUUUAAAAAAUUUAUUAAUUAGUUUAUCUCUUAAUUUUAAGAAUUAAAUAUUUAGUUAUUUAAUUUUUAUAAUUUUAAAAAAUUAUUAAUUGUUUUGAUAGGGGUUAUAUUCGGUUCAGUUUGAAAUCAAAAAAAAUAAAAAUAAAAUUUUAGUAUUUAUGAAAAUCAAAUCGAAUUUAUUUUGGAUAGAAAUCAAAUCGAAUCAUAUUGAUUUAAUUCAAUUUGAUUUGAUCGAUCGGUUUGUCUUUUUUAAUAUUUUUUAUUUUUAAAUAUUUUAAAAUUUAAUUAAAAUAUUUCAACCUUAAUUAUGGUAUAAUCUCUAUAUUAUUAAAAAUAAUACAUUAUUAUUAUUAAUCAUUUCAGUUCAGUUGGGUUCGUUUUUUUUAUUUUUUUAUUAAAAUUAAAUUCAACUGAAAUAAUUAAAAUUUUUAAAAUUAAAAAUCAAAUCUAAAUGAGUAAAAAUUAAUCUGAAUUAAUUUAAUUUAGUCAAUUUUUUAAAUUUAAAUUGAAUGGGACUUUCUCUCAUUUUGAAUUUCUAAAAAAUUUAUUAAUUACUUUUUUUUUAAAAAAAUAUUUUAAUUUUUUUUAUAAUACUUAACUAUUAAAUUAAUAGAAAAUUUAAUUAAUAAAUUUUUAAAAAUAUUCAUUAUAAACUUUCAAAAUAGUUGUUUUUUUUAAAAAAAAAACUUUCAAAAUAGAGAUACUAACUUCUUUGAAGUAGUAAAUUUCCAUAUAUAUAUAAUUGAGAAGCUGGUUUUCACAAUCCUCUAAAAUGACUUUGACAUUAACAAUUGGCAUAUGGCUUUUUUCAUAAGACAAUAAAAUAGAAUUGACAUUCUUUUUCUUAAAAAAGUUUGAAAAGCCUAUUUCCUUUUCCAUGAUAAUUGCUCCAUUAUAUUCUCACCACCAUAACCCAUCUAUGAUCUAUCCAACACAUACCAAAACCUUUGGAAAAAAAAAAAAACCAUUAAAAUAAAUGAUGUAAUAUAUAUUUUAAAAUAUAAAAAAUAAUAUUUAAUUUCUCUCAAAAAUACUCGGAUGUAUAUAAAUUUGAAAAACACUAAAUAAUUUUUUCUAUAAAAUAUCAAAAAUAUUUUGAUGAAGUUUAUUUAAAUCUUUAAAUUUUGAGUAUUAAAAAUAUUAUUUAUUAAAAUUUGAAAUAAAAUUAUAAUCAAUUAAGAAUUUAUUCUUAAUUUUAAAUAUGAUUUUAAAAAAAAUAGAUAAAAAGUAAUAUAAAGUUAUUUAUUAAAAUUAUAUAUAUAUAUAUAUAUAUAUAUAUAUAAUUUGCGUGGUGAACGUAUAAAAAAAACUAGUUUAAAUUUUGUAAUUUUGAUGCAAAUAAUUUAUUUUUUAUUAAAUUAAAAUAUAUAAAUCAAAAUAAUUAUUUAAUAAAAAAAGUUUAUAAAUACUAUGCUACCUAAUCUUAGUAAUGGGUUUUAUCUAGUAAGAUGAAAAUUCAACAACUCAUUUUCAUAGCAACAUUUUAACCGAUUAAGAUAAGAUAAGUUACCUACAAAAAAAAAUGUUUCCCAAAUAAAACGUACACUUUGGCUUUUACCAUAUACCAAAAAAAAUUAAUCCACUUAUAAAUUCCGCAACUAUUCCCUCCACCAAUACCUUUUUAAAAAUUAAAUUAAACUUCUUCAAUUACAAAUAUCUAAUUAAAAAAAUAUAUUGUAUCGUAUUGAUAAUCGCUGGGUUUCUCUUACCAUGAGACAAGGCCGAUGUAACAGCCCGGAAAUCCGAACCGCUACCGACACUAGGAUCCAGAUCUGCUUAAGGCCGCUGGGACCCGUAGUAAGCCAAACAGACAUCCUCCCUCAUGGUCUAACCCCAUACAUGAUCAACCUUUUCUUGAAAACCUUAACAUUUCCAUAUCCCAGGCUUACCCUGAAUAUGGUCUGAAACUAAAAACUUUUCUUUUCUCUCUACCAAGCUUAACUCGUGCAUGCACUUCCUCAUAACUUAUCCCCAUUCUGGAGCCCAUAAAGGCUGCUCCAAUGGAGAAACAUUAAGCUUGGCCAACAUGAAAAUAUCUUGAAAACAUUUCAUACAAUAUGAAAACGUUUAUCUUAAAAACUCAUGAUCAUGUACAACAAAAAGGGAUUAACCAACACUAGGCAAAGCACAACUCUAUACCUUAUCUCACAUACUUUACUUUUCUUAACUUUACUCUAUCUCUUAAUAACAUUAUUCUUUCCAUUCAUAUCCUUUAUAUACAUCAUGUCCAUUACUAUACUAUUCAAGCAUCUCUUAUACAUAACCAUACCACUAUAACAAAACUAAGCUAUGCUAUUACAACCAAACAUGGCAACCCAUGCUUGAACUCUGCUUUCCCCAUAGCUCACUUUGACUGAACUCUGGCCCUGCAAAACUGGGGUUAAGGGAAUGGGGUGAGCUACUAGAGCCCAGUGAGUAGAAACCAUGAAAACAAAACAAUUCAUUCAUUCAUUUCAUGCUUUCAUGAUAUGAGUCACAGCACAAACAUUUCACAUCUCGGAUUAGACAUGACCCCAGGACUCCCUUUGUCGGUGCCCGGCCCCUAAAGGAGCUCUCACAGGUCACUACAUGCUCUAGUGCCCGGCCCCCUUCUAUGAAGCUCACACAGGUCUUAUCUAGGCAUAACAGGUCGCGGGCUACUGAAGUCGCCUUGGUCCAAUCCACAUCAACAAUAAGUAAUGCAAUGCAACAUAUUCGUGAUCUCUAAUGCGAUGCAACUUAGUAUCACAUGGCAUUCAUGAUGCGUGUCUCAUGCUCAUACUGUCAUUUCCUUUAAACAUUAACUUUAAAACAUGCAUAGUUAGUUCUACUCACCUGAAGCAACUGCUCGACUAACACUGGGCCGACUAACAUUGGCGCUAAACACCUCGCCUCAGGUCCGAUCCUACACAGGUGGACUCACAUGAGGUGCCAAACAACUCUAGCAUAGCUAUAAAACAUCUCCGCAAAGAAACUCCUAAAACAUCCUCAAAACAUGCAUAGAACAUACCCCUGAAAGGGCUGGACAGGGCACUUUCGGCGGCACAUUCGGCGGCCGAAGGUCCCUUCCAGAGCCGAAAGCCAUGUAGGUUCGGGGGCACUUUCGGCUGCCGAACCCUUACUCCAGAUCCGAAAGUCAGGCACUUUCGGCGGCCGAACAUUACCUUCGGCGGCCGAAAGUCUGCUACAGACCCGGAACACAACUUUCGGGGGCAAGGUUAGGCGGCCAAACCAUGCAUCCAUAGGUAGGUUCGGGGGCCGAAACUACCUUCAGCGGCCGAACCUGAGUUCAUCAGAACUCAGCCUCUCGUGCACAUCAGCCUCCCAACCUCCCAAAACAAACCCCAAACCUCACAUACUCUCUCCCAAGCAUGCAUACACACUCUCACAAGCAUAGAGAGCAAAGAAACUAGCUUAAACCUUCCAACACAACAUCACAUAAAUAAAGGGCAUAAACCCACACAAACCUUAACAUGCAUAUCUACCCAUUCUCCAACAUUAAAACUUUAUAAAACUUACUUAAAACUCAUUAAAUCAUAAAGGAAAGCCAAGAUCUACACUUACCUCUUGAAGAUCGAGGGUUGCGUGAUCUCUAACUCAGAGGUGUGGAGAAUCCGAGCUCCAAAAGCCUCUAAGCUCCAAAACUUGAACUUUAAGCUCAAAACUUCAAAACCCAAACUAAAACUUGUUAAACCUUGAAAGAUUUGAAGAAAUCACUUAAAAUGAACCAAAGGAGGACAUGAACACACCUGAGCUCGAGAAUGGGGAGAAAACUCGCCCAUUUUUGGUCUGAGGGCCUUUUAUAGGCGGCCUGCCCGACCACCUUCGGCAGCCUAACAUGCCUCCUAAACUCAUGCAUGUUCGGCGGCCGAACCUGGUUUCUGCCCUCAACACUUUCGGAAGCCUAAGGCACUCCCGAAACAGCUCCAUGUUCGGUGGCCGAACUUCAUUUUCGGCGGCCGAACCUGGCAAAUGCCUCCUUGGCCUACUCUUUUCAAAACUCCAUUUCUUUUCAUUUAAAAUCAUAACAUCAUGAGAAAACAUUUCUGAAAACACAUUUUAUCCCUCUAGAAGCCUCUGGCAUCGUCAGAAUUCCAGAUUCCAACGGAGAUUCCGCCGGAAGGUAGGGAUUCUGAUGCCGGAAUCUAGCCGGGUAUUACAUUCUUCCCCCCUUACAGAACAUUCGUCCCUGAAUGUUCAAACAAACACACAAACAAACAAACAAAACCUCAAACUUGCGCCUGAACGCCACAAGCUUCUGCUGCGCUACUCUGAUUCUUCUCUUCUUCCUCCUUCUCUACUCUUACUCUUCUCUUCUAUACUUUUACCCUCUACUCUUCCUCUCUAAGCUUCACAACCUGAACUCGAAUUUCAGAUUUAGGAAAACAACAGACUUCUGCUAGCUGCUCCCAUAGAUCAUCAAUCCAAGGUAGGGGUUACCUGCUCCUGGUAGUAACCCUGCACAACUGCUUACAGUCGCUACAAAGGCUCAAGGAUCCAUCCUUCCUUUCCCGCACAAUACUGGAGCGUCCCAGGGUGAGGUACUGGGUCAGAUAAAACCCUUGUCUACCAAGCACUCCACUACUCCUACACUCCUCCUAUAACUCUCACAACUCUGCAGGUGCCAUCCCGUAAGGAAAGAGAGAAAUGGUUCUGGUACCAAGUACCACCUCUAAACCAAUCUCUACCUCCCUGACCGUUGACCAACCUGACACUAGCCUGGAACCUCUAAACACUCGCUCUAUCUAUGGCACUAGGGCUGGUUCCCAGACCUGCCUGCUAAUCUUUCAACCUGAACAAGAACCCUCUGACAACCACUCCUAUACACCCUACGAGCCUAACGGGCUGAUAUCCAACUUCUAGGCAUCCUACUCGGUCCUCUCCAAAAACUAACUAUGACCAUUCUGCACUCCGAUUCUGGCUACCUUGCACUGCAGACUCAGGUAGCACCAGCACCACAAGUAGAAAAACCAAUCCAUCCCCCAAAUGACAUCUAGACAAACAAGUCUCGGACCUCAAAAUCUGGUGGAAGGCAUCUACCCUCGUCUGAUACUGGACUGAACCGGCAGACUGACUCCGCCAUAGAUGGAUCACACUUAGAUUCAAGAGAACUCUCUACACCCAGAAGCUAUCAACUCAACCUUUCAAAGGCUCUUAGAGCAACAAUAGAAGAAGAAACACACCAAGGUUCACAACAACAACACAUCAGGACAUGCAAAAGUGAGCGUACUUGGCAUCAUUGUGUUCGAUGUGUCUGCUCCCCUUCCUUGAUCACCGGCCUGAGCCACAUUACGUGGAGCUAACCGCUGGGACCAUACCAUCCUGGGCGCAGUAGGACACUCACGUGCUAUGUGUCCUUCCUGUCCGCACCUGAAACAUGCCGUAGUCCCCGCCAGACAGACUCCUUUGUGUGGCCUCCCACACCUCAAACAUCUUGUAGUGCCUCGGCCAGAACUCGAGCCACCUUCAACAUCUAGCCUAAACCUCUUCCACAACCUACCCUUCCUAGUCCUACCCCAUUGCCUAGGGGUUCUUCUCCACCUUCUACCUCUCUUGGUAGUUGUACUCAGAAUGGAGGGAUCAACUUCUCCUGAACUUGAACUCUUAGAAUCCUUAGACUUUUCCAUACUUUCUUCAUCCAUACUCACUUGCAGACCUACAUCCCUCCUCUGCACCAUUCCUUCUCUGCCGACCUCCACAAACCUUCCAGGGUUCCUUUAGGAUUCUCCACUGCCAACUCUACCCGACUGCACCCCUGGCAGAUCAGGGGGAAAGGUAUUCGUACCUUCCCACUCAGACGGAUCUGAUUCCACAGAUCGACUAGCACCUUGCAUCUUCACUCUUCUGAAAACACAACAAGCGCACACAAGCAAACAUCAGCAUCACAUCACAUCAGGUGGUCCAUGUAGAAAUACAUGAACCCACAACACACAUAACAUCUUAUCAUAUAGGUCAUGUGACAAACACGUGAACCCACAUGCAAGAUAUAUCAUGAAUGAACCUGUCACCUACAGCCUACAAUAUAGCAGAACAUGCCAUGACCAAUUAUGCCAAGGGCCAUUCCUGGUCGCUCAGCUCAUCUCAUAUCAGUACAUAUCAUGCCAUCUUGCAGCUAAGGGACUAUCAACAUCCAUAAUACAAACAUAAAUGCACAUGCAUCACACAUGGCAUUACACAUCAUCAAGCAAGAUAGGACUCCUCAUCCUAUCCUAGUGGACAUGAUCUUGAUCUUUCUUAGUGUGCUUGCCCUACUAAAACGUCUACCACAACCUCUUUCCGAUGUGGGAUACCUCCAUCCCUGAGCGUCCUCGCUCAACACACCGUACUCUCGAGGCCCUAUGCUCUGAUACCAACUGUAACAGCCCGGAAAUCCGAACCGCCACCGGCACUAGGAUCCAGAUCGGCUUAAGGCCGCCGGGACCUGUAGUAAGCCAAACAGACAUCCUCCCUCAUGGUCUAACCCCAUACAUGAUCAACCUUUUCUUGAAAACCUUAACAUUUCCAUAUCCCAAGUUUACCCUGAGUAUGGUCUGAAACUGAAAACUUUUCUUUUCUCUCUACCAAGCUUAACUCGUGCAUGCACUUCCUCAUAACUUAUCCCCACUCUGGAGCCCAUAAAGGCUGCUCCAAUGGAGAAACAUUAAGCUUGGCCAACAUGAAAACAUCUUGAAAACAUUUCAUACAAUAUGAAAACGUUUAUCUUAAAAACUCAUGAUCAUGUACAACAAAAAGGGAUUAACCAACACUAGGCAAAGCAUAACUCUAUACCUUAUCUCACAUACUUUAAUUUUCUUAACUUUACUCUAUCUCUUAAUAACAUUAUUCUUUCCAUUCAUAUCCUUUAUAUACAUCAUGUCCAUUACUAUACUAUUCAAGCAUCUCUUAUACAUAACCAUACCACUAUAACAAAACUAAGCUAUGCUAUUACAACCAAACAUGGCAACCCAUGCUUGAACUCUGCUUUCCCCAUAGCUCACUCUGACUGAACUCUAGCCCUGCAAAACUGGGGUUAAGGGAAUGGGGUGAGCUACUAGAGCCCAGUGAGUAGAAACCAUGAAAACAAAACAAUUCAUUCAUUCAUUUCAUGCUUAAAUGAUAUGAGUCACAGCACAAACAUUUCACAUCUCAGAUUAGACAUGACCCUAGGACUCCCUCUGUCGGUGCCCGGCCCCUAAAGGAGCUCUCACAGGUCACUACAUGCUCUAGUGCCCGGCCCCCUUCUAUGGAGCUCACACAGGUCUUAUCUAGGCAUAACAGGUCGCGGGCUACUGAAGUCGCCUUGGUCCAAUCCACAUCAACAAUAAGUAAUGCAAUGCAACAUAUUCGUGAUCUCUAAUGCGAUGCAACCUAGUAUCACAUGGCAUUCAUGAUGCAUGUCUCAUGCUCAUACUGUCAUUUCCUUUAAACAUUAACUUUAAAACAUGCAUAGUUAGUUCUACUCACCUGAAGCAAUUGCUCGACUAACACUGGCGCUAAACACCUCGCCUCAGGUCCGAUCCUACACAGGUGGACUCACAUGAGGUGCCAAACAACUUUAGCAUAGCUAUAAAACAUCUCCCCAAAAAAACCCUUAAAACAUCCUCAAAACAUGCAUAGAACAUACCCCUGAAAGGGCUGGACAGGACACUUUCGGCGGCACAUUCGGCGGCCGAAGGUCCCUUCCAGAGCCGAAAGCCAUGUAGGUUCGGGGGCACUUUCGGCGGCCGAACCCUUACUCCAGAUCCGAAAGUUAGGCACUUUCGGCGGCCGAACAUUACCUUCGGCAGCCGAAAGUCUGCUACAGACCCGGAACACAACUUUCGGGGGCAAGGUUAGGCGGCCAAACCAUGCAUCCAUAGGUAGGUUCGGGGGCCGAAACUACCUUCGGCGGCCGAACCUGAGUUCAUCAGAACUCAGCCUCUCGUGCACAUCAGCCUCCCAACCUCCCAAAACAAACCCCAAACCUCACAUACUCUCUCCCAAGCAUGCAUACACACUCCCACAGGCAUAGAGAGCAAAGAAACUAGCUUAAACCUUCCAACACAACAUCACAUAAACAAACAUUGGGCAUAAACCCACACAAACCUUAACAUGCAUAUCUACCCAUUCUCCAACAUUAAAACUUUAUAAAACUUACUUAAAACUCAUUAAAUCAUAAAGGAAAGCCAAGAUCUACACUUACCUUUUGAAGAUCGAGGGUUGCAUGAUCUCUAACUCGGAGGUGUGGAGAAUCCGAGCUCCAAAAGCCUCCAAGCUCCAAAACUUGAACUUUAAGCUCAAAACUUCAAAACCCAAACUAAAACUUGUUAAACCUUGAAAGAUUUGAAGAAAUCACUUAAAAUGAACCAAAGGAGGACAUGAAAACACCUGAGCUCGAGAAUGGGGAGAAAACUCGCCCAUUUUCGGUCUGAGGGCCUUUUAUAGGCGGUCUGCCCGACCACCUUCGGCAGCCUAACGUGCCUCCUAAUCUCAUGCAUGUUCGGUGGCCGAACUUGAGGUUCGGCGGCCAAACCUGGUUUCUGCCCUCAACACUUUCGGAAGCCUAAGGCACUCCCGAAAUAGCUCCAUGUUCGGCGGCCGAACUUCAUUUUCGGCGGCCGAACUUCAUUUUCGGCGGCCGAACCUGGCAAAUGCCUCCUUGGCCUACUCUUUUCAAAACUCCAUUUCUUUUCAUUUAAAAUCAUAACAUCAUGAGAAAACAUUUCUGAAAACACAUUUUAUCCCUCUAGAAGCCUCUGGCAUCGUCAGAAUUUCAGAUUCCAACGGAGAUUCCGCCGGAAGGUAGGGAUUCCGAUGCUGGAAUCUAGCCGGGUAUUACAGCCGAGUCUUAGAGAAGGAUAUGGGUCCAAAACCUAUCAGACCACACACAAGUAAGGCGGCCCAACAUCGCGCGACCCAAACCUGUGACGUGAAGUGGACUGGAUUAAACACACACACGGGCCUACCUAAAGAACGCUUAGCCCGGUGACGUGACAGAAGGUAAGAGAAGUGAGUCCAGUUACCUCGCAACCCUGUCAACAUGUGCACCGAGAAGAAUUAAAUGGUCGUCUAACAUGGAUGGAGUAGUCUACGUAUAGAUCUGAGUAAUAGAAACAAGUGGUAUUAUAGAAGGAUAACAGAUAUAUGUUACUAACAGAUAAAAGGAAAAGAAAUAAAAUGAAAAGAGAUAAAAUGGAAGGGAGGUGAUCUUUCCUAACCAAGUUUACACAAAAUCUUAUUUUCUGAUUUUCAUAACAUCAUGUAUUAUUAUGUUUAAUAUUUAUUAAAACUAUAUUAACAAUGAUAAUAACAGUUAAUUGUUGCAGUAAUAAUAUUUAAUCAAAGGUUACAACUCUCCGGAUCAUAAAAUAAUAGUGUUUUAAUUGAAUUAAAAUAUUAAAUACUAUUUUAAAAAUAAUUGCUAAAUAUAAUCUAAUAAAAUUAAUCUCUCUAAAAAUCAAAUAUCAUUAGUCUCUUUUCUCUGGAUUAGAGAUAUCGAGUUUAAAUUUGAAAUAUGAGAUCUUUGAAAAUGUUUUGUUUGUUUCGUACAAAUUUGCGGAUUAAUGGAGUUAAUGAGUUUUAAAUAUUAAAUAUAUAAAAAAAAAUAAUUUUUUUGUAAAACUUACACUUUACUGCGAUUAAAUAUGGCAACUACUUAUGCCAAAAUCUACCAUUCAAACAAGCAAUACAGCAUCCAAAUUUUGUUAUAUUAUAUAUCAUCUUGAUUUUUAAAUAUAUUAAUUUAUUGUUUUAACAUUAUGUAUAAAAUAAUAUUAAACAAGUAUUUUUGAAAUCUAGAUGUGUUGUAACGUCAUUCUUAACCCAGUUGACUUUGAUAGAACCAUACAAUUGGAAGGCUUUUUUUUUUAAAAAAAAAAAUUAAAGAAAAAGAAUAAUUUAUAAUCCUCCCUGCCUAUUGAUAUGUGUGGUGAUCAAGUUAACCAUGAUUAUACCAAAAAUCAGCAACAUCUAAUUGGGUCCCACUUUAAUUCUGUGCACCUAAUCAUAUGAUAAUAUUCUUUUUCUUUUCUUUUUUUUUUUUACAAAAAAGAAAAACACACAUUAAUCCCAUAUCAUAUCAUAACAUAAUAGCAUAUCCCUCCAUAUUCUAACCUUGAAACAUCUAUCGACCGCUGGAGUUGUCCUAAAGUGAAGAUUCUCAUUCCUUUUAACCAGAUUUUAAGGUACUUUAAAGAAAAAAAAAAUCAACAAUUAUUUAAGCAGAAAUCAAAAAGGCAGAAACUUUUUAAGUAUUGUGUAAUUUGCUUGUAGAGAGUGAGUGAGUGAGUUAGCUUUUGAUAGCAGUCGAAAACGACACAGCAAUCAUAUUAUGCAUUUUCUUCUAUAAGGUUGGCUGCCGAGGCCUAAUCUCAUACACAACAACGCAAACACAAAAUGUUGUGUAGAAAGAAUUUCAGUUCUGUUGAUGAUAAUGGAGGAUCUGUGCCUGUGCACCUCAAUGUUUAUGAUCUCACUUCCAUCAAUGGCUACGCUUACUGGCUUGGCCUUGGAGUUUAUCAUUCUGGCGUUCAAGGUUCUUGAGCUUUCUCCUUUUGUUAAUAUAUUUUUGGAUUCUUUUUGUGUUUAUUGACUGCUAGUUAGAUCUGUUCUUGGAUGUUGAUGGAGCUAACUUAUUGUUUGGUUAAUGGGAAUGUGCAAGAAAAAGAGAAAAAAUUUUGGAUUCAGAUGUUUCUUUCUUUCUUUCUUUUGAAAAAAAAAAAAAAUCCUGUUCUGGGGUUCAUGAGACAUUAAAACUGCAUUGAAACUUUUAGCAGAAUCAGAUUCUUCGCUCUGGAAACACAAAAUCUUUCAGAGAACUGUAUACAAUGCUGUUUCUCUCUUUUUCCUUUUCUUUCUUAGCAUUUCUUUUGGAUAAUGAAUAUGCAGUUCAUGGCGUUGAGUAUGCAUUUGGGGCUCACGAGUAUCCAACAACAGGAAUUUUCGAAGGAGAACCAAAACAGUGCGAUGGAUUUACAUAUAGAAAGACAAUUUUGAUUGGAAAAACAGAAAUGGGGCCUGAAGAGGUAAGGGCUGUAAUGGAGGAACUUGCAGAAGAAUACAGAGGAAAUGCUUAUAAUUUGAUCACCAAGAACUGCAACCAUUUCUGCAAUGAUGCUUGCGUUAGACUCACUGGCAAUCCAAUCCCCAGCUGGGUCAAUCGCCUUGCAAGAAUUGGUGAGAGAUUGAUCUCCUUAUUCUUCUAAAUGCAAUUGAUUCAUCUAAACACAAAUGGGUUCAUGGGUUUUAUUUUUUACUUUCUGUAUUUUUUUUUUCAGGUUUUCUGUGCAAUUGUGUUCUUCCUGCAAAUGUAAAUUCAACUAAAGUUAGGCAUCUGAAAAUGGAAGAGAAAGUUGAUGAAACAGAGAAUGAAAAAUUAACAAGUGGAUCUAACAGAUUUGCAUCAGCUUCUAUUUCUUCUUCUUCUUCGUCUUCUUCUUCUUCUUCAUCAUCUCCUUCUGCAAAUCAAAUCCGAGGUAGAAGUAGAAGCAGACGCGCUCUUCCACCAUCUUCUCCUUUGCUUUCUUUAUCACCUUCAUGAUAAAAAAAUUUGAAGAUUUGAUUUUCCUUUUUCUUUCUGUUUAUUGAAAUUUUCCAAGUAAAUGAAGAGGGAAAAAAAAAAUAUUUAUAAUUUCUUUAAUUUUUCUUUGUUGGGUUCACCAUUUUCUUGGGAUAUUAUUUUGCUAACAUUUUCCUGAGUUAUGCAGGCAAGCAGCACAAACAUGUGUAUACACAUUAAUCCCAUAUCCCAGUAGUUUUCUUUAAUUUUACCUUUUAAAUGUUUCAGAUUUAGAACUUUUCAAAUCUUGCAAAGUCGGGAAGGAAAAGGUAAAAAAAGAAAAGAAAAGAAAAGAAAAGAAAAGAAAAGGAGGAGAAAGCAGAGAAAAUGUGCUUUAUUCUUUGGUUUCUCUUGCUAUGGAAUUGAAUAAUAAGAUGCCUCACUGUCCACCAUUUUUACUUUUAGUCUCAAAUGGUUCCACAGCAUAAAGAAGGGAAUAGCUUCUCAUAUUAUUUUAAUGAAGGUUUUUUUUUUUUUUUUUUUUUUUUNUUUUUUGAGAUUUAAUAUGCUUCAUAUUUCUUAAGUUGGUGCAUACUUGUUUUCUUUCAAAGUUUAAAAGAAAAUGUAAAAAAUUAUUAAAAAAGUAAAAACAAAUGUCAAAACAAGGUCUCUAUCAAUUACCAACUCUUUAAUUCUUUCUCUCUUCUUUUCUCUCUCUUUUCGGGUGCAAAAUAGUUAAUCGUUAAAAUUUUUUUAUGUAUAAAGUACUUUUCAAUAUCUAAAUUCAUUCAUUAUUCAACAUUUUCAAAUAAAUAUAACAAUAAAAAUUGAAUUAGAAAUGUUUAGUAUGAUUUUUUUUUUAUUUUUAGUAUUAGUUUUCAUUUUUCAUUUUUUUUAAAAAAAAACUUUCCUUUGUUAAACAAGCAGAAUGAAAUAAAAUACAUUUUAUUUUAUUUUAAAAAAAUUUAUAAUUUAAUCCUUGAAUAUUACAAUUAUUAAUAAGUUAGUCCCUACAUUUUUAAAAACUUAUUAAAACGUUCUUAUUUUUUCUUUCUGUGAACGAAAUAAUCUUCCAAUCCUUUUUUUCGUUAAAAAUAGAUAAAAGAUGAGAGAGAAAAUUUUUAAAAUUUAAUUUUACCCUAAAAUAAAAACCCUUAUUUAGUUAUUGGAUAUUGUUAUUAUUAACAAAUUAAUUUCUAUAUUUUCAGAAAUCUAUUAAAAUAUUCUUAUCUUUUCUUAUAUCUAUUAAAAUAUCCUAAUUUUUUCUUAUAUCUAUUAAAAUGUCUUUAUUAUUUUUUUUUUGUCAACGUAAUAGUCUCUUCUCCUUCUCGUCCUACUUAAAAAAGAAGAAAAAGAAGAUGAUGACGACGAAAGAGAAGAAGAAAAAGAAAAAGAAGAAAAAGAAGAAUAUUCUUCUCCGCCUCAAAAAAAAAAAAGAAUAAAAGGAAAAAUAAAAAAAAAUCAAAGAAGAAGAAAAAGAAUCUCCUCCUCCUUAUAAAAGAAGAAUAAAAAGAAAAAUAAAUAAAAAAUCAAAGAAAAAGAAGAACCAAAGAAGAAGAAGAGGAAGAAUCAAUGAAGAAAGAGAUGAAAAAAAUGGGUAAUUUAGUAUUUUAUUAUAUUUUUAACGGUAAAACUAGAUAGAAAGACUAUAUUGUUGACGGAGGGAAAAAAUAAUGACAUGAUUUUGAAAAUGGAUGAAUUGACUUGUUAAUAAUGGUAAUACCAAAAACUAAAUUAUAAAUCUCCUUUUAUUUUAUUAUAAUACCAAAAUAUAAAAAUAUCUUAUCCAUAUAAAUUUCUUCGCAAAUAUCUAAAACAAAACAUAAAAUGGAUAGCAGAAUUAAAAAUUUGAUUUAUGUUGUUAGUUAAGCUUCUUAUCUUACAAUUAUGAACAUCUCUCCUCCCAAAACCUUCAACUUAAAACACACAUUUCUCCUUUUCAUUAUCCAGACUCUCUCUUACAACCACUUUUCUUUUGUCUUAAUCUCCUUCAAUAGAGUUGGAGUAUCCCUUCCAUGGGGUUUUGUUUAGUUUUCUUUAAUUUCUUUCCUAAAAUGAUGUCCUUUGAAGUCUUUAAGCUGCUAAGGGCCGGCAGUAAUAAAGAUAACUGUUAAAAUUAAUUGAAAAAUUAAUUAAUAAAUUUUUAAAACGUUUUAAUAUAUUUUAAAAAAGAAUGACUUUUUAAUUUCUAUACAAUAAUAAUAAUAAUAAUCUGAACAAAGAAAAAUUUCUAGUAAAAAUAAAACUACUAAUUUUAAUAUUAAAAAAACCCAAAAAUCAUUCCAAAUAUCUAUCAUCAUUCUUAAGAUUUACAUUUCAUAUGUUUUAAUAUUUUUCUAAAUUUAUAUACCAUAUUUUUAAUAUUUAUUGCACAAAAAUAAUAAUUUUAAAAAUAAAAAUUUCCGGGCACGUAUAUUCUUCAAUGAUAUAGAGAAAGUACUCAACCACAAUCCCAGGCUAUUUAAGAUGGCCCACUCCACAUAAAAUCAACCCAAAAUCAUAGCCAACUCAACCCAAAAUCAGCUCAAAUUCACUCUAGUAGCUAGUUCACUUGGCGAGUAAUCAUAAUAUCAAUGAGGAAAGCUGCAUCAACAAUUUCCACUCUCAUAGUAAAUCAAUGACAUUUGUGGAGAGUAAUUAUAGCAUCAAUGAUGAAAGCUGCAACAACAAUGUCAAGGUAAGAAAUUUCCACUCUCUGAAAGAGUUUAAUGUUUGUAAAAGGAGAAAAUUAAAUUUAACAUGGGAAAAUAAAACAUGCUGCUGGAGUUUUUUUUAUGUGUGUAGUUUCAACAGUCCUGCAAGCAGAUCACAUUUUUGUUAAACAACAAAUUACAGGUGAAAAGGCGUAAAAAAUGAAUACAAAUUGGAAAACAUUAAAUGGGAUUUCUGUAGUACCUACUUCAAUAAAAACGAUGGUUUUACAGUAGAGGAUUUGAGUAGACCUAAGGAUAGUAGGUUUUAAGUCCUUUUCUCUUGCAUCCAUUCUACAAAAUUAUCCAGGAUCAAAGGCCAUGCAAGUGCUGGAUCAUAAUUACUGAGAUCUGGAAAGCUUAUCUGUCACAAGAAAGUGUGUCAACAAAGGCAAUGAUAAGAUCAGGGUAAGAAGCCAAGAUUGCUAUAGGAUGCGGCUGCUAUGCGAAAGCAAAAGGCGAUGAACACUUGAAUAGCAAUUGUAUGUACACCAUAAAAAUCGUUCUCUUCAAUCUCCUCUGUGAUGAAGAAAUUAAAACAAUCAAGUAAAUAAUAGAAAGUACCUCGGUGCAAAAAUGAUAAAAGCCCAUCCAUUGAUCCAUGUUUAUGACCUUGUAAUCACUCUGAAUCUGCAUUCAUGAAAAAGCAUGACGAAAUAAUUAUCAUUUUAAAUUGAAGUAGGGCAUCAUAAAGAAAGAAAAUUCACAGAAAUAUAAAUGGUUUGUCAAUCUUUAUUCAGCCCAUUAAGUUGUCUAGAUCACCUAGCACAUCAAACUACAGAACUCCAAAAAAGCAAAACAUUUGACAUAUCAAAAUUGGCCAUAGAAAACAUGGACAGCAGACACAGGGCGCCUUCACCGGGUAAGCUAAUUGACAAUAGAGUAUCUGAAAUUGUCAGACCUUUACAGUCCUCAAAAUUAAAAUAGAUAAAGAAUAAUAAGAGAUGGCAUGGUAUCAACUGAUAGUUAAAAGUAUGUACAGCAUCAAACUUGGAAGACAACUCACCUUUAGGUACUCAAUGAAAUAAUCAACUUGGGCUCGGAAGUGAGAUCCUAAAACAAGAUCCAGUAACUGGCAGAUGCUCUCUAUGUCUAUACUCUUCUGUUUCUCCUCUGAGUGAAGAACAUAAAUUUGGGUCGGAACAAACAAGAAAUAAUAGUUUAAAAGAAUUGAAAGGAACAGAGAUAAAGGCUGGAACACAGAUUACAUUAUGUUUCUAAAUGCCUAAAACACACUACCUGUUAAGCAAUACCGGAAUGAAUAGGCAUAGAAAUCCACAAAGUUUGAUGGCCUCUUCACCUUUUGAAGAUAAGAACACACCAGCUUUUAUUAACUCAUUCACAGUAUAUAUAGAUAAACAUAAAUGAAACAUGUCAAAAAACUGAAGUGAGUUCCAAAGGGGGAAAGUCAUAGGGGAAGUCAUAGUAUACCUCUUUCUCUAACUCUGGGAGGGCCUUCUUUAAUUUAUUUACAGUGUCAGCCCUCAGCGCUUUAAGACCUCUUCGCCACUCCUCCUAUCAAACAAUAAAAGUAGAGAGGGAGAGAGAGAAAGAAAGAGAGAGAGAAGGAUAAAUGCAUGAGCUACUUCUUUACUUACCAAGUAAACAAUGGACAUGCUCUGCAUGAUGGAACAUUGAUAGAUUGCAUAUAUUAUGCAUAUAUGUAUUAACAUUAGAUGUGAGUAUAUGUGCCAUGAACUGUUGGUUGAAUUAAAAAUAGAAGACAGUCAAUAUGCUCCAUCAAGCAAUAAGUGGUUAAUUGAACUGAGAAAUCAAAAUAUAAGCAGAUACAGAUUAAGUGUGUAUAUAUACAUAUAAUGCUGUAGAGAUGAAUGCAGAUGUCAGUGAUGUUCCUUACCAGCGUAAAGUAUCCCUGCUUUUCAGCUUUCAUUUUCCUAACAUUUAGAUAAUCCAUCAGUUACAGGACAUAUGAAUCACACUAGAAGUUAAUAAGUAGUUCACUGUCUGAUGUCUUCGAUUCAACUUACCAAGCUAGCAUCAAGAUCCUUACAUCAGUGUGAUCCACCUCCAUAUCUGAACAUAGGUUUUCAAUUCCUUCUGGGCUGUUUAAAGGAUAGGAUUAAUAACAUCAGAAUUCCAUUUACAAACCUUAAACCAUGCCUUUAUGAUAUCUAUAUAUAUAUAACUAAAUUCGAACAAAUUUCAAAUACAGAUAGUCAGCUACUUAGCCAGCACGACAUACCUUAAGAAUGACUACAAAUUUAAUUACUACUGAAGAGUUGCAUAGCAUUUCUUAUCUUUUCAGUGAUACCAUUCCUAUAGAUCCCUAGUUGGUGGACCACUAUCACAUUCUCAUGGUAGAUAGCAACUCUACUCACGUCAUUAUGUCAGUCCAACCAACAAUUAUUUAUUAUUAGCCGAAUUCCCAUGCUAUGCACGUAAUAACAUAUAUUCUUUUAUUUUAAAGAUUGAUAUUUUAUUUUUAUUUUUUUACUUGAAUUUAUAAAUUAUUACUAUUAUAUUAAUUUUUAUUUAGGACUUUUUCUCUUCAUUUUAAUUUAAAGAAUUUUCUCUUAUUAAUCUUCCAUUAAUUUGUAGCAUAAUCAAUUAAAAAUAUCUUAUUGAUUCUAUAUAUUAAUAUUUCUAUGUUCAUAAUAUAGUAAAAUUAUUUUAUUCACUAAACUUGAUGGUGGUCUUUUAAACUAUUACUUAUAAGUUACGGCGUUGUAGGUGCUUUAUUAUGUGCUUUUAAAUGUAUGAUAAAUUAUAAUUUAACACUAAUUUAAUUAAUAUCUAAUUAAUUUUAAAAUAAAAACUAUUAUUUUUAUUUAAUAAAUAUAAUAAUUAGUCGGUUUAUAUUUUGAAAUGUUACAAUUUAACCAUAUGCACAUAGAAAUAAAUGGUCUUAGAUACACCAAAACAAGUUUACAAUAAAUGUAGUUCGCCACAAUUACAUUAUUCUUUAAAUAUUAAUAUUCAUGAAGGUUACCACAAUUAUUAUUAUGCUAUUAAAUUUUAAAAAAAUUAUUCUAACAUUAAUUUUCUCUAUUUCUCUAAAAAUUAAUGCUUUAACUAUAAAGUAUAUAGAGUAAUUGUUUGAAGUAAUUGAGUAGGAUUCUUAGCGAUUCACGAUGAUAUUACUAACUUAAAGUAUUCCCAUAAAUAAAAUACGAGUCAUAAUUAAAAUUAAAAGAAAGGCUAAUACAAUACUAUAUUUAUCCUGAUUACAAUUAUGAAAAAAAUAUCAUUUAAAAAAAAAGUUACUAUUUUAUCAUAAUUACAAUUACAUAACUAUUAGAACAAAAUUAGUCACAACUCAAUUAGCUAACUACAAUUAAAUCUAAAUUGCAUCUAGUGAAAAGCUUAUUGAAGGGCUGGAAAUUAUUCAAUUAAAUUAAUUAAUUUAUAAAUUUAAAUUAAGUUAUUUUAAGAAAAUUUAGUUUAUAAGAUUAUUAAUUUUUAUUGAUUAGUUUUUACUUUAUUAAUUUUGAAGAAAUUAAUAAUUUAAUUAAAUAAUUAUAUUAAAAUUAUAGGAUUUUUAAUUAUAAUUGGUAAUAAUAAUUUCAUUUAAUAUUUUAAGAUCAUAGCAAGUUAAUUACUCCUUCCGUCCCACAAUUUUUGUCCACUUUACUUUUACUUUUUCACAUAUAUUAAGAAUUUUUUUUAUUAACUUUUCAAUUAUAUCCAUUUUAAAGACAUUAAAUUUUAUUAAAUAUCAAGAGAUGUUUUCUUGAAAAUAAAAUAAAAUUAAAUAGACUUAUAAUAGUCAAUUUAUAUAUUAUUAUAGUGUAAAAAGAAAAUGAACAAUAAUUUUGGGACAACUAGAAAAAGAAAGGUGGAUAAAAAUUAUGGACGGAGGGAGUACUAAAACCAUGAGAAACGGAAUUGCUCCAUAAACAAUAAUGGAGAUGGGAAUUUUAAAUGGCUGAGGCCAUUAUAGUUUUUUUUUUCCAAAUUUAUUAUUUUUUUAAUACACUUUAAUUAAGAAAUCCUACAUGUCAAUCUAAAAAAUAAGACCUUCACAUGGCAAUUUUUUUAAUUUAGAAGAAGCUACAUGGCAGUUAUAGAAAAAACUUAGAAACUACAUGACAGUUAUAGUGCAUAUAGAUAGAUUUGGGGUUCACCCACUCAAAUCAGAAGAAUAAGUUUAUUUUAACUUUCUAUUAGUUGGGAGAAAAAAAAAAGAUAAAAAAAAGGAUAGUUUCUAGUAUGAUAAUGGGAAUUCUAGGAUUCUUCAUACAAAAUGGGGCAGAUGGUUCAAGAAAAUCUUUCAACUAUUCUAUCCUCAAUACUUUCACAAUAUCUGUGAGUUUCUCCAUUCAUUCCUUUUGUAGAAGUUCACCAGUAGGCAUCCUUUCAUAUCUUCUGUUUGAUUCUAAAUCCUCCUGAAAAUAUAGUUUCAACCAUCCAUUUCAUAUUUUUCCCAAUUUGUUUGGCUUCAAUCUUCAAUAUAAUGGUUAGAUCAAAAUAGGGGCAGGUGAUAAGGAUUAUUAAACCUUUUGGCUAUCUAUU
rnacentral:lncRNA from 1 species